rnacentral:snRNA from 1 species
UGCUCACUCUCUUCUGUC